rfam:Ictidomys tridecemlineatus contig085395, whole genome shotgun sequence.
GGAGUUGUGGCUCAGUGGUAGAGCGCUUGCCUCACACACGCAAGACCCUGAGUUCAAUCCUCAGAACCA